AAAAAUGGAGCUUCGAGUUGGAGGCACUCAGUUGAUCCAUGUGGUAAUUGGGAUGGAGUUAAUUGUAGCAACUCAAUAAGGGUCACAGAGCUGAAGCUAUUCAACAUGGGCAUUAAGGGUACACUAAGUAAUGCUACAGGAGAUCUUACUGAAUUGCAGCUCAUAGACUUUUCCAAAAACAAAUAUCUCAACGGCCAACUUCCACCUAGUAUUGGAAAUUUGAAGAAGCUCCAGACUCUGUGAGUCCUUCAGCAACUUCUCCAUCUCAUCAUUCAUUUCUUGAAUUAUAGUGCUCAACUACAAACAUAACCUAGA